rnacentral:lncRNA from 1 species
CGAGAGAGCCUCUCCAGGGAGCAGCGUACGCAGUCCAGAAGGCUGCAGUAUUUCCUCCAAGAACAAAAAUCAUAAUUGCUUGGCAGAGUUUUUUCCCACCAAUGAUAAUAUUCUGUCAUGUCUAUCAGCUGCUACAUUAUAAUACAAAUUGUUUCAGAUAAAAUAUAUUUCCUUAAAGGGUCCCUUUUCAAGGCGGGCGAGGCUAAAAUUAGAUGUGCCAGCUGUGUUUUGCUGCGAGUGCUCACGCAUGCCCAAAGCGUGGGCA